UGAUGGAAAAUAACAUUUACAAAUCAAAUAAAAAUGCCAUGUAGUACCUUACUCACCUCGAAUCUUGUUUGUGUACAGUUAUAUCUUGAAACUAUGAGCGCCACCAUUAAAGCAGGCUCAACAAGACUACAGAUCUCUGGAUCAUUGUUUUUUCGAAGUUAGCAUAUCCCCAAUCAAGUAUGUUCAUUGUUGAAAACGGCAAGAGCAGAGAUGCUAAGAUAUUGCCUCCACCUCCAGAUAUGCCAUAGUAUUGAUGCUUAACCUAUCCAUCAAACGUAGCACAUAUAUACAGAUUUAGGAAAUUAAUUGAGGCUUUUUUUU
rnacentral:lncRNA from 1 species